CGACCGGCGCACGGGUGAGUAACACGUAUGCAACCUGGCCGUGACAGAUGGAUAACCGGGAGAAAUCCCGCCUAAUACAGCACUGACGCCGGGAAGGGACAUCCCUUUCCGGCCAAAGGGGGCGACUCCGGUCACGGAUGGGCAUGCGGCGCAUUAGGUAGUUGGUGGGGCAACGGCCCACCAAGCCGACGAUGCGUAGGGGUUCUGAGAGGAAGGUCCCCCACAUUGGAACUGAGACACGGUCCAAACUCCUACGGAAGGCAGCAG
rnacentral:rRNA from 1 species